UUUCGCAAAAUAACCUCUAUUAUAUUAUUAAAUCAUUUUAGGAAAUAACUUAUAUAUUUUAUAAUUAAAUAUGGAAACAUUAGCUAAUUUUAAUCAAGAAAGCAAUGUAAAACAAAUAUUUAUUUAAUUGUUGGAACUAUCAAUUAGCGAGUAGUUUACUCUGUUUAAUUCAAGGAAUUUGAUUAAUUAAAUGAAUUAAUAAUUUUACCAUCAAUUCAUUAUUUUUAUUUUUUGCACAUGCAUCUAUACAAUUUAUUAGAAUUAAUCAUAAUUAAUCGAGUGUUUAAUUGGGUUAAAUUCCAUGAAUUGUUUACUGCAUGGCUAAUAUUGGCUACAAUUGAAAUGAUUAGUUGGUUGUCUAAUUAUGGCCUUAAUUGAAAUAGCCAAAUUCAUUGGUUCAAGUCAAUUAAAGUCAUUUUUACAAAAUCAGCCUUCAAUUGGUUGACUGAAUUAGGUGCGGCCAUAAUUGGCAUAAUCAAUUUCAUGAUUUAAGUCAGUUAAGGUCGUUUUCGCAAAAUUAGCUUUAAUUGGUCAAUUAGUUAUAAUCUGGUUAUAAUUGAAACGUUCAAUUAAUGGACAUUAUUGCAAAUUUGGCUAAUUGUUAAGUAUCGCAUGUCUACCCCCUAUAUAAAUAUAUAAAUGGAUAUACACCUGUGUAUACACAUACACAUGUAUACAUAUAUAUUGGAUUAUCCCCUUUCCCUCUCUUUUAAUUCAGCCAGGCCCGGGCCAUUAAGACCGCGACCCGACCCAAUUUGCUUUCUAAAUGGAAUAAUACCCUUUUUCCUCAUUUCAUUUCAUGCCAGACACACCCCUUACAUUUCUCUCUUAGGGUUUCUAAAUACCCUAGCCGCCGCCUGCCUCUCACUUCUCUCUCCUCAUCAUCUAUGCUGGAUUUAGCAAAGACGAGGGCCCACCUAGCUUCUAAAAUCAUGAGGUUGGCCGAGAAUGGCAAGAGCAUUAAAUGCUCUGCCAUUUCUCACCUAUUACCACCCAAAGGCCACUCCAAACGCAGUAUAAAUCUCUUUCCUCUUUAUUUUUCUGCGAAUCAACAGUCAAAAGCUUUGAAAAUCCUUAAUGGUUUUUUGUUUGCAUGCGUUUGAAUAUCGAUUUUUCUUUGGUUCAUAAGGAACCAUUCGGAUUGACUUUGAUUGGGUCAAAUCUGACCGUUAAUUUGUUUGUAUGUUUUUUUCCUAACCAUUAGAUGUGGUGUUGAGAGAAGCAAAUCUUAGAUUUACUAUACUCCCACAUCGGUUGUAAACUAGGGUUUGAGAAUUUGGGGGGUUCUAUAUAAAGAACCCUAGUCUCCACUAUUUUAACAACUUGGAGCAUAUUGAAAUACCACUAUACUCAAAAUGACCGAAUUACCUAGGGUUUCUAAUUUUUUAGACCUUUAGUUAUUCUACUAAGUCAAAUUUUAAAGUUCUAAUUGUGUUCUUGCUUGUUUAUGGCCGAGUUGUUGGUUUGAGGAGAAGAAGGAGUUCAUUCAAGUCCAUUCUCGUUCAAAGCUGUACCCCAAAAAGGUUGAAGUGCUAAUUGAGACGAAUUCGUUAGUGAUUGCGUAUUGGCGACAAAAGCCUGGCCUACGGGUCGUGGAGUUGUUGCCGGAUCGACGUGUCACGGAGUUGCGCAUACCUAACCUACGGGUCAUGAAGUUGGUUAUACCUGGCCUACGAGUCAUGGAGUUAUCUAUGUUUGACCCUCGGGUCACGGAGUUAUAUCUAUAGAGUUGUGAUAUCUUGCCUCAGAUGAGAGGAAACCCAGGUUCUGAUAGACAGCCAGAUAGACCUCCUCAGUAGACGAGACAAGAGAUCAGCUGACUAGUGAGCUCCAUUCUUCUUGGAGUUGCCAGGUGCAGAUAUUGGCGAUCCUCCACAGUAGGCUCCCCCCUUUGCUAUUCCAGAGUACUCCCCUUUGAUCCGGAGUCCACUUUUGGUACAGACUCCUUUUGCUUUGUAUAUAUUUGGUAUAUCUGACUAUUUGGGUACGGCGGGGCCCUGUCUCGCCAUAUGUCUUUGUUUUGAAUUCGUAGAGGCCUGUAGUCAUAUAUGUGGGGUAAGGGUCCUGUAUAUGUUGGUUUGAUUUCGUUUUCUGGUCUUAAAGCGGUAUGUUUGUUAUGCUGGCCCCAAAUGGCCCUUAUGCUUAUGUUUGCACUUUGACCGGCGAUGUCUAUUCUGCCGCUCAGUUUGUAUUUGAUAUGGUAUUUUG